rnacentral:misc_RNA from 1 species
CACCCCUCAAGCUCUGCUUGGUGUUGGGCGUCACCAUCCCGGUGCGCCUUAAAGACAGUGGCGGUGCCAUUGGGCUUCAAGCGUAGUAAUACUUCUCGCUUUGGAGGACCCGGUGCGUGCUGGCCAGUAACCCCCAAACUUUCUUA